UGUCUAUUAGCUCAGUUGAUUAGAGCGUGGUGUUAAUAAUACCAAGGUCUCAGGUUGGACCCCUGUAUGGGCUA